UGCAAGAAAAAGUCUGUAAAUCAAGUAAUAGAAGAAUAGCAGCUGCAGUUGAUGGGGACAAUGGUGUUCCAACACUAACACCCUUGCAAGAAGCAGAUGCCAAGAAACCUAGUAAACAUAAAGUUGCUUUCAUAAUUGGUGGUGUUGGUGCAGCUUUGCUUGUGAUUGUCAUUGUAGUAGUUGUAUACGCGUGCUUGAUGCAUGCUAAGAAAUUCCUAAGGCAAGCAUCUGAGACAGCAUCUUCUAUACCAUCUCCUCCAGGUAAGUAGAGUGUGCUGCCUUAUGGUACAGCACAAGAUAUAUUGUAAAUUUCUUUUGUUUUGGAGUACAGGGUGUGAAAUAAGCAGAAUAUAUCAUUUAAUGACUAUUUGUUGCAGUCCUGUUGGGUGAUGCUCAACAUCCAACUGGUGAGCCACUUCAUGCAGAGGACAUAAUGUAAUAAUGUGCAUUUCUCGAAACAAAGUUUCUAGACAGUUCAAUCUUCGAAAAUCUUUAAGAAGGGGCAAAAAAAUAGUUGACCCAGUAAUUUCUUAAAACUGAUACUUCUGUUCCUGUGUAAAUAAUUAGUUAUUGAACUUUUUAUUUGCAUAUGCAUAUCUGCGUUGACAGAGUUUCCAGUCAUAGUGUGAUUAUCCAAAUAGGUCUGCAAAUAAAAGGGCUUCAUCAUGUAGAGGACAGUUUAACUUCCAGCUAAUAAGUUGCAAGAUAAGAAGUCAGAUGACUAACAAUUUGCUGACUGUGGUUAGAAUACUGCUGAAAAAUGGUUGGAUAUUAUCUGAUAACUAUGGUGUAUGAUCAUGCAUAAAUUUAUAUCUGUAAAAUUGAGAAACAUAAGGUUAUGAAAGUGACAUUUAUUCCCGGAAGGGAUGUAACAAUUGAAAUAUGAGAAUUGUGAAAGAAUUUCAGAUUAUUUGUUGUCCUAGUUAUCUUCCACCAUAGACAACAUUGUAAAUGUUCUGUUAAGUCUUUCAAGCUAGUGCAUCUGAUAUCUUUUACUGCAUUCCGCACUGAUUUUCUUUUACUAUAAACAAUGUUGUAAAUGUGUUGCUAAGGCCAACCUUGUACUAGCUGUUGAACCCUUGCAUGUGCAUGUGGUUUCAUGUGUAAAUUCUAAGAAGUCAUGAAGGUUUAUGCUUGGGUAUGUGGCCUGCAUGUGGUAUUCAGGUGCUUUGAUAUCAAAUCAUUUUUGUGUUCUCAAGACUUGGAAAGUUAUGUUGAUAAGCUCUCUCUCUCUC
rnacentral:misc_RNA from 1 species